UCACAUACUUUAAAAAGCCCUUUUUAUUGUCUCUCACAGACCUGGCCAGCUUCAACUGUAAUUGGGCUUUGGUCACAUGAAUUUUCUCCCUACAAAAGCAAAUAACAUCCCUGAAAACAGUGUGGCACAGUUUCCUCUGGAGCAAUUUAAAGUAUCACUGAAAUGCAGAUGUGAUCUCUAUAGAACCUGCUGGAUGGGGAGCUGUGAAAACUUGUUUCCAUUGUGCAGUCCAAAUACAUGGCUUAUGCUUAACACUUUUCUGACCUAAGCUUCCAAACGUGGUGCAUUGGUUUGGCACAGCUGUUAGGCCUUUGAACUAAGCCUUUCCUCCUACCUUCUUGUGACAACUACAUCCCCUUUCUGUGCAGGUCUGAAUUUUAUGCAUGAUGGUGGCGAACCUUAUCCCAGAGACAUUAAAAACCUGAUGGUUCUGCAACUACUUGAACUAGUACCUCUUAAUUAAACCCUUUAAAUGGUAUCCAAACUAUUUAUCAUCAUUAUACAUAGAAGAGUGGCUGCUUACCGGGGAAAAAUUGAGCUGAGGAGGUCUGUUACGAAGUGGAAUUGAAGCUGGUGUUAGUGAGCUUGGGAGGAGUCCUAUGGUGAAAAAGCUGGCUGACAUAGAUUUAUCAAACUCUAUUUAAAUACUGCGUUUGGUUACACAAGCCAAGGUAUAGAUAAGAAAGCUCUGUGGGUGAGGAAGGAAAUUAUUCCCUGCAGGAAAGGGAUUAUUUUUUACUUGAAACAAUUUCCUAAUUGGCUACAUCUGUGCCACCAAAACUCUUGGCAACCUAAGGCAUCAUUUUUGUGGCUGUUGCUUGAGGUGGGACACAAUAACUAAAUCCUUGGUAUGAUCUAGUGUGACAUGGCUAUUUUUCUGAUGGAAUUUGGGGGAAUGAAGGGAUAUCAGGGUUUAAGCAACUCUAAGGACCGACCAGAACAAUGAGUGGUGUGGGGAGCUAUGGUAAGCUUGGCUGUAUAAUUGGUAUGAGGUUUUUCUAAUGACUCAGAAAAUUGCUGGUUCCCUCUCAAUGUUGGAAUUACUUUUGGAUGGUGCUCAUUAGUGCUCUACAUGCUUAACAACGGCAUCACACUGACUGGGAUUUUUUUCAUAUUGGGAGCAUAACAUGAAACAGACCGGUUUGAACCAUGUGCAUUAAGAGGAGGGUCCAUGGGAUUCCCACUCUAGUUCCUGCAGUCCCUUCUCAGGGGCGGGGGUGAAAUAACGUGUUAAAUCCAGUACGGCUUCUUUUUUGUUGAGACAUCUGUAGACCUCUUCUGCAGCCCACUCUCAGCCUGACCUCCACAAGACAGAAGUCUGAACUCUGUACAGGAGCAUUACACACACUGCCACCUUGUAAUAGUUCCAAAAACAUCAUGAGCCAGACUAGCAAAUAGUUUUUUGACCUUUUUUUGGCAAGUUUCAUCUAAACCUUUACAGCUGAUGGUUUUUAUUCUGUUUGCUGUACUGUUACCAGACAAUAACCUCCUUGAAGGCCAGGCUACAAAUGCGUGAUGAGCAUGAGCAGGUUCAUUAAAUUUGUGAUAGAACUAUAAACGAUGGCACGCUGACUUCUGCUUCCUUUGUGCUUGGUUUCCUUGCUUCAUUACACUUCUAUGCUGGAGUAAACUUGAAGCAGAGGCGUGAGUCUUUUUCCCCCCCCCGUGUAAAGUGUAGGUUAUUUCUUGAAGCCUGCUUGCAGCUCAGCUUUCUGCAGCCUUUCUAUAGGAGCUGAUCUGCAGGCUGAUGCGUAACUUGCUGUUCUUGUGCUGAUUAAGGUCCACUGGAAGACAACGGUGAUGACUUAAAUGUGUCUUUGUAUGCAAAAAUGUUUCCAAAACUGAUAUAGGAAGAAACUAACACCUUCCUAGGUUUGUAAUGCUGCUGAGGAGGAUUGCUGUACUAAGUUCCCUGUCUGAGGUCCCUGUUACUCUGUCUAAACUCUGCUUUUUAAUGAAAGAGCAUCCUGGUGCCAGUAAGAAUGGAUGGAAUAUGCUCAGGGCUGUACAUCACUGCCCCCAAGUGUUGAGCUGACCAAGGGAAAGGGUCUGGACUUGAACACAAAAGUAAAAAGGGUGGGUAGAAGAGCAGAAUUUUUGGGUCAUUGGCCCUCAUCAGACCAGGCACUUUUCUUUCAUUAGCAAACCAGUUUGUGGGUUGCCCUUUUACCACAUCUGUUGUUGCUUUUUCCAACUGCAGAGUCCUCAAUUAGAGUUCAUUAGAGACCUUGUCAAUCACAGGACUCCAGAAGUGCAGGCUGAAAGCAGUUGUGUGCGGUGCUGGUAAUGUGCCUUGGCAUGGAAGGCUCUGCUUGGAAUCCAAUUAGUCCUUAUUUGUAAAUAGGCUACUUGGAGGCUGUCAAUGUGCAGGAGGACUUUGAAAUCACUACAAAAAGUGUUUAGCGUAGGCACAUGCCUUUUUAAGGACAACUAAUUUAAAUUAGAAUAAUUUUCUAUAGAACUCUGGAAACUGGGCUGGCAGAAGGCUCGGGGUGUGUACCUGUCCAGGUCUGGAGGGUCAUUCAUUUUCCAUGAGGGGAACAUUACCAGGGAUUGCACUGCUCUGAGAUGGAGCCAUCGUGAGGAUACCCCAAGCAACAGCACUUGUAGCGUUGCUCCACAAUUAAAAUCUGUAUCAUGAAUACUGUCUCUCUUCCUUACUGCCUCAAGUUCCCCAGCAGAAGUUGGCUGCUGUUGAUGUUCUGUGCUUACAGAAGUCAAUUGUGAACCAUGUGGUCCAUCCCGUGCUGAAAGGGGAAUAUUAAGGGGAUUUUCUGCAUGGAAAUGCUUCUUUUAUCAGUUGACAGUAAGGCUUUGGUUUUGCUCACACAAAUCCCACUGACUGGCAUGAAAUAAGGAGGCUGAUAGAGUGGGCAAAUGGUUUAUACUGCACGAUCAGAACGAUCUUGGAGAAUUGUCCUCCUGUUUCCCUUCUUUGAAGGUGACAGCUGUGCAGUAAGUUGGUCCUCAUAUCCUUUUAGCUGUUUUUAUCUCCUCAAGAGAAGCCUCAGCUCUCAGGCAGUGCUGUUGUGGAGGAUCUCUGCCAAGGACACCUUGGAAGCACAAGGCAGGGGAGGUGAAUGUUAGCUGGGAUCACGCCUUCCUGAAGCCUUUCUCUUUUCAAGACAUCUUCACUGGCAUGGCUUGGAGGGGUGCAUCUUUGGGAAAGGUGGAGGAUGGACACUGGAUUUGUUGUGCUCAGGGGCCACAUGCAGCAAGGGGUCUGUGGCAGGGUUGCUCUGAUGGCUUUGGCUUGGAUAUGGAAGCUGAUGUGCCCUCGGUCUUGGUGAAAGUGAAGCAGGUUCCUCUGUGAAUAAGAAUUUCCUGCUGAAUGUUUAAUUUGGAUGAUUGCCUGUCUGUGCACAUAUAAAUGAAAUGAAAAAUCUCGCUGACUCAGAAAAAUCAGAUGGCUGGCAUGAAGUGGGAAUGGGGAAUCAUCCUUUCAAAACUGGAUCAUAAAAUGGACAAGCAGACUCACCAGGAGAGUGGGGCUUGUUUGCAGCCAUGACUUUCAUCUCUUCCCAGUAGGAUCGGUAUUCAGAUAAUGUUCAAUUUAUUCCCAUUUUUCUUCAGUGUUAAAUGUGAAAGCCUCCUUGAUGUAGAGAAUCAAGUUAUUGCUGCCAAGGAAGAAAUAAAGCUAAAGUUAUUUAUUGAUAAAGCAAUCAGUAGCUUCACUGGUUGUUUUUUCAAGGAUAAUUUGUAGUUAAAGAUUUGGGAAGUAACCAUCUCUGCUUGAGUUUCUAAUUACAGCAGAAUGCUUAGAUAUUUUAGUAUGUGUUACUUUUUAAAAAGUCCCAGAGUAAUGAAUUUACACAUGUAUAACCUUCUGACUGAAAUACUUGAACAAUAUUCAUGAGCUUGCUUCAUACAGCUAGUGUGCUUCCAGGCAAGCCUCAAAUCUGCUUGUGUGCCUUUUGGUAACUGAAGAUAUAUGAAGCUAGAGAAUUUAUCCUCAGUAAAUGGCUGCACAGACCAUAAAGAACAUGAGAAUGUGGCUGGGGUUCUUUGUAUCUCGAGUCCAAAAGCCUAAGAAGUAUACACUUUUGAGGGGAAAGAUAAAAUAAUUGAAUGCAGAUGGCUAGCUGAACAGCUAGUGAGGAUAGAAGAUGUUUUCAAAACAUAAAUAAAAUUCAGACCCCGUGAAAACUUGAAAAGAGUGGAAGCAGAACUACGUUGACAGCCUCAUGGUGUAAGAGCUGAGUUUUUGACCUGCUGCUCUUCCUGAGCUUGCUGAUGGGUGUGAUGGACUCCAGGCUAUCUGCAGCCAGUUGGUUUUCUAAUGCAAGGAUUACUGGCUAAAGAAAAGGGGGGUCUGGCUCUGAAGAAACUUACGGUGGUUGUGAGCCAGCUUUCCAUUCAGUGAGUGGCUUUAAGCAGGCGCUUUUCCAGCUAGAAAGGAUUACCUCUGGAUACCUUGAUGGUAACUGGAGAUCGUGAUGUGUGUGAGUGGUCAGUGUGAUGCUGGCAUGGAGCUAGCAACCCCUCUCGCAUGAGAUUGUAAAAAUCAAUUUCACUUCUGGCUCUGUAUUCAUGUAGUCAUUUUGUUUUUAAGCCUGAACUGUGUCUUUUUUCUUCCAGGUUCCUGCUGGUGUUACAAGCCCUUGAAAUGUCUGUUCAAAUCUUUCUAAUGGAGUGUGUGUUGGGGGGUGUGUGUGUGUGUGUCAGGGGAUCACCCGAUGAGCUCGAAUCCUGAUUAGAAACCUAUCUAAGAGCUUUCAAAGAUUGGGGUGGGGGGGUGGCAGGGGAAGCCAGGCUAUAGAAACUUCAAGGUAAAGAGCUGGAGAGUGUGCCUGUGCCUUUCCUGUAGCUGUUGCUGGAUAUCUCCAACACCAGCUGGACUCCUGACACAUGCAGUCGAGACUUCCCAAGAUAUUGAUAUGCUGUGACGACUCAUGGGACUUGUGACUGGUAAUGAGAUACAGAAGCCUUCACCUGCAGGUCACUAGUCAAACUCUGGGGCAUCUCAUUGUGCCUGCCAGAUGGCUAGCUUUUGUUUCUCGGUAAGCUCCAUAAUGCAGAAUCCAGCAAAAGCCCUAUUUUAUCCAGCAAGUCAGCAGAAGAAUGCCAAGGAUCCUGUUUUAUGAACAGUAGUCACCUUUCAGAGACUUUAGAUGCCCUUCCUUGAGCUGAAUUGAAAAGUGCUGGAAUUCAGUGCAAAUACUCAAAGCUGGGCUGUUUCCAAUAUCAAUUACAUCGGCCUUGGACACAAGAGUACAUUUAAAUGUCAUUUAAUAAACAAAGCAUGAAGAAUGUAUGGCCCUUGGACAUCUGAUGGAUCAAAUUAAGGUUUAGCAACGUGUGGAUUUGUGGGAGUGACUUUACUAGUGGUUUUAGGUCCAAGAUGAAUGGAGCCAGGCUUCCUUCUAGAGUUUCCACAACAUCCGUUAGGCCACGUCUGUGUUCUGCAGGAACAGGAAAAUCUGGGGCUGUGGAAUGACUCGGAAAAAUUAUAAUAUUUUAUUAGAGGCUGGCCCAGAGGGGAGGAAUCCAGGCUGAUGGGGGAGGGAGAGGGGGGUGUCUUGUGCUAAAACAAGUCUUCUGUGGAACUACUGAUGACUUGUACGGACUGUUCUUUGCAUUCAGGUGGCUUCCCCAGGUAACACAGGCAAUGUUUUUGUCUACUACUGUAAUGAUGUCAGUUGCUGUAAAGGAAAAGCAAAGUCUUAAGAGUUCACAUGCAAUUAAGAUACUCAUUUUUCAGUUUGGUUGCAGCUUUUACUUAAAAACUAAUCAAGUUACGUGUUUUCAGAUACCUGCAUGUUAUAGACACACAUUCCAAAGGACAAAUGGCUCUGAAUGCCUGCAUUGCUAAUAUUUUGAAGCUUCUCCUAAAACCUUAAGGAAAAAUGUUUCACCUUUUAAUUUUUAUGCACUUAGCAUAGUUCUGCAGUGUGUGAGGUUCCUUGUGGGUGUCCUGACCUCUACAUAAAUGUGGAAAAACACGCAUUUUUAAAGCACAGACCCUAACACAAACAAUAUUGCUGCUUCAAUUUUAAACGUGAUUUAUUUCAGUUAAGGCUGUAGGGAGAAAAAAAAAAUAAUACCUUUAGUGUAGUCAUGUUGCACAGCUAGUGAGCCAGACUCUGAACUUUUCUGAAUGUAUGGUGGGGAAUUAGAUUGAACCCAACAGCCAGCCUAAUCAAAGCUAAGCUGGAGAAUGCAUGUGAGGCUGAAGAGUCUCACAUUUGCCUGUUUAAACAAUUUACCUUUACUGCUCACUUUUUCUAACCUUUUUUAGAGGCCAGUUCAAUGGUGUUUUAAACAGAUUACCAAAACAAUGGUCUCUGAAUUAACAUUGCUGAAAAGUGAGUCAAGAAGGAAAGAUUAUUAGGUUAGCUAUGCCAGCAAAUGCACGGUUUUGAGCAUGGCACAAGUGAUUAUUUGUCUUGAUAGCAGAGCAGGCAACUUAAUUAAAACACUGUCCACAUACCUGGCUUGCUCUGAUGGAGAAUCCUGUUACACAAGACAACAGAAUCCUUGUUCAACAUGCAGCAGAGCAAGCCUAACUCAUUCACUUUUUCUUGCCUCAUCACUAUGUGUUCAUUGUGUAUCUCCUUGGAAAAAAUAAAUCCCACAACCAGUGUCGUGGUGCACGGUAUGUGCUUCUGAAUGAUGCUGCUAUUGCCGUCCAGCCUGAACAGCUGAGUCUGGACCUCCUCAGAGUCCUCUCUUUUUCUUUACUGAUUUACAGCGAGGGUGGUCUUGCUCUGAGUAUAUACACAAGCACUAUAAUAGAUGGAGUGCUUAUUUGUGGAAAUGUGUGUGCUAGGGUCCAGAGCACACUGUGGACCAAUUUGUAUUAACGAUGGCCUUUAGCUAAAGAUACGAGGUUAAAAUUAUAUUCUGCAUUUGACCCUCCACUGCUUUAAGGAUGGAGAAACUUGUGUCAAAAUAAAGCUGGGAACGCACACUUUGCUUACAAAGCAAUCCUCAUAUAGUCAAUGUUUUCAUCACAGCGAUGCUUAUUU